rnacentral:rRNA from 1 species
UACGUAGGGUGCGAGCGUUGUCCGGAAUUAUUGGGCGUAAAGAGCUCGUAGGCGGUGUGUCGCGUCGGCCGUGAAAACCUGGGGGCUUAACUCUGGGCGUGCGGUCGAUACGGGGCAUCACUGGAGUUCGGCAGGGGAGACUGGAAUUCCUGGUGUAGCGGUGAAAUGCGCAGAUAUCGGGAGGAACACCCGUAGCGAAGGCGGCACUCUGGGCCGGUACUGACGCUGAGGAGCGAAAGCGUGGGGAGCAAACAGG